rnacentral:rRNA from 1 species
UACGGGGGGAGCAAACGUUGUUCGGAAUCACUGGGCGUAAAGGGCGUGUAGGCGGCUGAAUAAGUGGGAUGUUAAAUCCCCCGGCUCAACCGGGGACCUGCAUCUCAUACUGUUCAGCUCGAGCACAUCAGAGGAGACUGAAUUCCAGGUGUAGCGGUGAAAUGCGUAGAUAUCUGGAGGAACACCGGUGGCGAAGGCGGCAUCCUGGACCAACACUGACGCUGAGUGAGCGAAAGCCAGGGGAGCAAACGGG